UUCUCGCCGUGGCGACGAACGGUCAUAUGGUAUACAGUUCGAGAUAGUAGUCUGUUCUCCUUCUCACCGUUUGUUUAGAUAAUUGAUUAAAUCCAUAUUUUGAAGAAAUUAACUGUGAGUGAAAUAACAUUGGCUGGAUAAUAAUACAACUACUUGGAGUUUCUCUUGUGAGAUUAAUACAAACUUGGAAUUUCAAAAUGGUUUUAACAUCCCAACAACAAUCUGACGUCCGUGAUAUUAUCAAUGAAUUGAUAACGGAUGAUAACUUCUUGUCAAAAUUCGCCGAAUGUGUUGCUGGAAAGGUAUUUGAAAGACUAGAUAAGAAGAUACAAUGUUUGUAUACAAAAUCAACUGAACUAGAAACAGAGGUCGUUAAACUCAAGAGUGAAAAUCUCAACCUCAAAAAUCGUUUGAACAAUUUGGAACAAAACCAGAAAUUAAAGUCGCUCAAAAUCAUUGGAAUACCACCUGAAACUGAAGAAAAUACCAAGGUACUAGUCCAGAAAAAAUUGAUUGAGAAGUUGAAAUUAUCAAAAACUUCUUUUGAAAUAAAGCGGUGUUAUAGACUGAAAUCAACGGAGGGUAAGCCUGGGCUGUGGCCCCUUUUAGUAACUUUCACUACUUCUGCUGGUCGUGAUAUUGUCUAUAGAAAUAAAUCUAAACUAAAAGGAACAGGCGUAUUUAUUACUGAAGAUUUAACGAGGGAAAAUUAUAACUUGCUUAAUAUAUGUAAGACGAAAUUUGGGUUCAGAAAUGUCUGGACAUCGGAAGGGAGAAUUUUUGCUCGCUGGGAUAAUAAGAUACAUAGAAUUCGGAAUGGGGGUGAUUUGCAGGGAUAUGAGGAGGUGCAGACAGGAGAAUCAGUGCGGAUCUCAACUCUUGCUUAAGCUUUGCUUCUGCUGUUAGUAAAUAUUCCAUUUAUUUUUUUUUCUCUUUUUUUUUUCUUUGUGCUUUUUCUAAAUGUAUUAUUAUUAUUAGUGUUAGAUGAUCGAUAUAAUAUGUGGUAAUUUGAAUGUCAGAUCAUUAGUUUCAAAUUUUCUUGAAUUGCGUGAUGCCUUUGGGUUAUAUAGCUUUGACUUGUUGGCGCUGACUGAAACUUGGUUGAAGGAUGAUUCGGAUGAAUCUAUUUCUAUUGAUGGCUAUCGGUUUGUGAGAAACGAUAGAUUAACUAGAGGAGGAGAGAGAUUUGGAGCUGUCUGCCUUGAGUGAUAUAUUUAAAACUAAUGAUAUUGAUGUGAAGGUUGAGGUCCUGAAUAAUGUUUUGGCAAGUUUGUUCGAUAGGCACGCUCCUUUUGUUUCACGUCGCAUAACAAAACCGCCGGCACCCUGGUUAUCCGUGGAGAUCGAGGAGCACAUGAAGUUGAGAGAUAGGGCUAAGGCAAAGUUCAGAAAGUCGAAGCAGGAAUUGGACUGGGUAAGAUAUAAAGAACUACGCAACUUGACUACUCUUAAAAUCCGUAAUUCUAAAAAAGAAUAUUUUUCUUCGUUAUUUCGAACUCACAGUAAUAAAGACUUGUGGAAGCAACUGAAAUAUAUGAAUAUAGGUAGUAAGCAACGACCUACGAUUCCUCACGAUUUUGCCGAUCCUGAUGAGCUCAAUAACUUUUUUGCUCGUUCCAUUCCUCUAAAUCAACAUAGGUCAUCUGACGAGUUUCUCAGUUAUUACUCUUCUAACACUUUUUGCGGAUUUGAGGAGAAAUCAACGUUUUCAUUGGUUGAUGAGGCAUUGAUCAAUAAAUAUUUGCACGAAAUUAAGUCGAAUGCUGUUGGUUCUGAUGACCUGAGCAUCUCUCUGCUGAAAUUAUGUGCUCCCGCCAUCCUGAAGUAUCUAGUCAAUAUAAUGAACUGCUGCAUCCUAAGUGGAUAUUAUCCCUCGGCGUGGAAAAAUUCUAUAGUCUUGCCGAUUCCAAAGAAACGUAAUGUGGAGCAGCUCAGUGACUUGCGACCAAUCAGCAUAUUGCCUGCUGUCUCUAAAAUAUUCGAGAAGGUCCUGUAUCACCAGAUGAUUGAACA